rnacentral:rRNA from 1 species
AUUGAACGCUGGCGGCAUGCUUUACACAUGCAAGUCGAACGGCAGCGCGGGCUUCGGCCUGGCGGCGAGUGGCGAACGGGUGAGUAAUGCAUCGGAACGUGCCCAGUAUUGGGGGAUAGCCCGGCGAAAGCCGGAUUAAUACCGCAUACGACCUGAUGGUGAAAGCGGGGGACCGAAAGGCCUCGCGCGAUUGGAGCGGCCGAUGUCGGAUUAGCUAGUUGGUGGGGUAAAGGCUUACCAAGGCGACGAUCCGUAGCUGGUCUGAGAGGACGACCAGCCACACUGGGACUGAGACACGGCCCAGACUCCUACGGGAGGCAGCAGUGGGGAAUUUUGGACAAUGGGGGCAACCCUGAUCCAGCCAUGCCGCGUGCGGGAAGAAGGCCUUCGGGUUGUAAACCGCUUUUGUUCGGGAAGAAAUCCUCUGGGCUAAUACCCCGGGGGGAUGACGGUACCGGAAGAAUAAGCACCGGCUAACUACGUG